rnacentral:rRNA from 1 species
AUUGAACGCUGGCGGCAGGCUUAACACAUGCAAGUCGAGCGAGCGGCGGACGGGUGAGUAAUGUCUGGGAAACUGCCUGAUGGAGGGGGAUAACUACUGGAAACGGUAGCUAAUACCGCAUACCAUCAGAUGUGCCCAGAUGGGAUGAGCUAGUCGGUGGGGUAAUGGCUCACCUAGGCGACGAUCACUAGCUGGUCUGAGAGGAUGACCAGCCACACUGGAACCGAGACACGGUCCAGACGCCUCGGGGAGGCAGAAGUGGGGAAUAGUGCACAAGGGGCGCAAGCCAGAUGCAGCCGUGACGAGUGUGUGAAGAAGGACUUCGGGGUGUAAAGCACAUUCGGCGAGGAGGCGUUACUCGCAGAAGAAGCACCGGCUAACUCCGUGCCAGCAGCCGCGGUAAUAC